UCGCACGAGAAAGGGGAGCAAUCCCUGAGUAAAGUGGCGCACGGGUGAGUAACACGUGACUAACCUACCCUCGAGUGGGGAAUAACCUAGAGAAAUCUCAGCUAAUACCGCAUAACACCUACGGGUCAAAGCAGCAAUGCGCUUGAAGAGGAGUUCGCGGCAGAUUAGUUAGUUGGCGGGGUAAUGGCCCACCAAGACGAUGAUCUGUAUCCGGCCUGAGAGGGCGCACGGACACACUGGAACUGAAACACGGUCCAGACUCCUACGGGAGGCAGCAGUGGGGAAUUUUGCGCAAUGGGGGAAACCCUGACGCAGCAACGCCGCGUGGAGGAUGAAAUCCCUUGGGAUGUAAACUCCUUUCGAUCGGGACGAUUAUGACGGUACCGGAAGAAGAAGCCCCGGCUAACUUCGUGCCAGCAGCCGCGGUAAUACGAGGGGGGCAAGCGUUGUUCGGAAUUAUUGGGCGUAAAGGGCGCGUAGGCGGUUUGACAAGUCUGAUGUGAAAUCUCUGGGCUCAACCCAGAGUCUGCAUUAGAAACUGUCGGGCUUGAGUAUGGGAGAGGUGAGUGGAAUUUCCGGUGUAGCGGUGAAAUGCGUAGAUAUCGGAAGGAACACCUGUGGCGAAAGCGGCUCACUGGACCAUAACUGACGCUGAGGCGCGAAAGCUAGGGGAGCAAACAGGAUUAGAUACCCUGGUAGUCCUAGCCCUAAACGAUGAUUGCUUGGUGUGACAGGUACCCAAUCCUGUCGUGCCGAAGCUAACGCGAUAAGCA
rnacentral:rRNA from 1 species